GCAGAGCAUCCUACGGGAGGCAGCAGUGGGGAAUAUUGCACAAUGGGCGCAAGCCUGAUGCAGCCAUGCCGCGUGUAUGAAGAAGGCCUUCGGGUUGUAAAGUACUUUCAGCAGUGAGGAAGGUGGAUAUGUUAAUAGCAUAUUCAUUUGACGUUAGCUGCAGAAGAAGCACCGGCUAACUCCGUGCCAGCAGCCGCGGUAAUACGGAGGGUGCGAGCGUUAAUCGGAAUUACUGGGCGUAAAGCGCAUGCAGGUGGUUUGUUAAGUCAGAUGUGAAAGCCCGGGGCUCAACCUCGGAAUUGCAUUUGAAACUGGCAAACUAGAGUACUGUAGAGGGGGUAGAAUUUCAGGUGUAGCGGUGAAAUGCGUAGAGAUCUGAAGGAAUACCGGUGGCGAAGGCGGCCCCCCUGGACAGAUACUGACACUCAGAUGCGAAAGCGUGGGGAGCAAACAGGAUUAGAUACCCUGGUAG
rnacentral:rRNA from 1 species